GAUUAUUGUUAUGAGCUCAAUUAAUGAUAAAAAUCAGUGAGCGUUGGCGAAUUCUUAACAAAACUUUACACAAAAACGCAGGUGUUCACAUGCACGGUAUUUGCACAUGCUUUUCAGCAAUUUGAUGCAUGAUCGUCAUGCAAUUCAUCUGCAUAAGGUUUGCAGUUGGUUCCCCCAAGUUAGUGGAGAAAGCAAUCUUCGAUGUAAACACAUAUAUAUAUAUAUAUAUAACAUAUAGUGAGUGUUUUAAGUGAGUCUAAACUUUUGAUGGGAAGUAUUCGAAAGGUAACAAACAGGUCCAACAUACUUAACAAGAGCACCAGAUUUUAAUAUUAGUUUUACACUAUUGAGUAUAUGUUAAAAUACCUUUGAACAAAUGAAGUACUUUUACCCAAAUUUGCCUUGCAAGGGCACUAGAUGCUACAGAGCUUACAAUACAUUAAACACAGGUACCAGGGACCAGUUUAAAACCCCUUUCUCAAUGUUUCACUGCAGUAACCAAAACAAGCAAAACACUCAUAUUUCACUGAUUCUGCUUUCCAUUCCUUGUCUAAUAUUCUAGAAUGUGAUAUUAACAUACUGUUUAUAGUUCCAAUAUAUGUCUCUCAUUCGUCAUGAUGUUCUACAAGGAAUUCAACAUUUUCAGAAUUAAAUUUGUGGAAGAGUGGGUCUCUCAACUUUUUUUAUCCUACAUUGUACUUUUGAACUGGUCUCUAUGCCUACUGUUUUAUCAGUCAUUGUGUGUACUUUGUAAACUGGCCAUAAGUAAACUUUUGCUACAUAUUUAUAACCACCCUGAUGAUAUUUGUCUCAAAGUAUUUCUACUUAAAGUGAUAUUUGUGUGUACAUUUUCAUUAAAUCAUAUCCACAUACUGCAAAUAUGUAUACCGUACCGCCUUUAUUUAUCACAUAUAUGGCGCAUAUUUCUACCUUUGUGAUCUCAGAUAUCCAUUCUACAUGUCCAUGAUCUCAUUACAUGUCAUAAGCACUGUGUUAACAGUGUUUGCAAGUGUCAGGCCAGUUCAUCAGGAUAUUUGUUAUCCAUAUUCAGAUUGCCAGAUAAUAUUUUGACAUGGUACUCUUACAUAAGUCUAAUCUUUUACUCUCAUAUGAUACUGAUCUGCAAGAAGAUACGACAAUCUUUCCACAGAAGGUCAUCAUAUGAACUUCAUAUUCAGUUAAUCCACAGGUCAUCCUAUGAACUUCACAUUCAGUUAAUCCACAGGUCAUCCUAUGAACUUUACAACCAGUCAAUAAUUAGAGGGGAUUCUUAAAUUCAUGGUACAAGCAAUCAUUCAGACCAGCACAUCUGAUUACAGUACUGUGUCUUGAAAAUGAAGUUAAACAGCUAGUCCUGAAUGUAAAUAAUUAAAGCCAUAGAGUUAUUUUAUACAUCCUGUUAUGUGUAGAAGGGAAGAAGGGAGUAUCAUCGAAGGAAGCUGGCUCAAAGUUAAGAUCUGAUUUAAAUGUCCCAGCUCAGAGUAAAUAUUACAAUAAUUUUAUGCUGCUUCUGUUUGAAUUUAAUCAAUUAAACAUGCACUGGGUAUGAAACUUCAGUUUGCAAAGCUUUGGUAGCUACAAUUUUCAAUAUAAUGUACUGUGCUGAGGUCAUUUCCUACUGGCACUUACUAAAUGAAAACAAGGUUAUAUCAAUAACAGUAAUGUCCAACCAGGAGUACAGCCUCUUGAUAUGUCUUGAUGAUUAAUCUCCCAGAUAGAAAACAGGAGUACCUGUUUUUAGUACAAAGACCCAAUCUAAGAUAACUUUGAUAUUAUGGUAUAUUGCCAAGCUGGUGAAUAAGGAUUAUAAUGACCAUCAUGUUUAUGACUGAACAAUGCCAUGUAACUUGUCUGUGUGGAUUCAGUCAGUUAUUUCUUGUAGUUUCAUGUUGCACUGUCUGUGAUAUUAUUGACACCUAUCUGUUUGUUUGUUGUUGUUUUGUGCCAAAUUGUGUAACAAUAUAUCUAUAUUCCAUAUUAUUGACCGUAUAAGUCCAGUAAAGGUAUCAAACAAAACACUAUUAAUAAAAUCAUAUAUAUUUAUUCACUUCUAUAUGGCAAAUGAAAUUGGUGCCUUGCAAAGCUAUUACCUAACUCAUGUGAAAAGAUUAUAGAAUGUAGUGUUUAACAGUAAAGGAAUAUCUGGUAAUUUUUUUCUAAUCUUUGGAUAUCGCUUAUGAUCCAUCACCGGCUAAAAGAAUAUAUAUCAACUUGGAUACCAUGUGGCAGAAAUAAAAACAUUCUCUAUAUCAAUAAAAAUGUUUGUUA